UUGCUAAGGCUGAAUGGCGACCGGCGCACGGGUGAGUAACACGUAUCCAACCUGCCGUCUACUCUUGGCCAGCCUUCUGAAAGGAAGAUUAAUCCAGGAUGGGAUCAUGAGUUCACAUGUCCGCAUGAUUAAAGGUAUUUUCCGGUAGACGAUGGGGAUGCGUUCCAUUAGAUAGUAGGCGGGGUAACGGCCCACCUAGUCAACGAUGGAUAGGGGUUCUGAGAGGAAGGUCCCCCACAUUGGAACUGAGACACGGUCCAAACUCCUACGGGAGGCAGCAGUGAGGAAUAUUGGUCAAUGGGCGAUGGCCUGAACCAGCCAAGUAGCGUGAAGGAUGACUGCCCUAUGGGUUGUAAACUUCUUUUAUAAAGGAAUAAAGUCGGGUAUGCAUACCCGUUUGCAUGUACUUUAUGAAUAAGGAUCGGCUAACUCCGUGCCAGCAGCCGCGGUAAUACGGAGGAUCCGAGCGUUAUCCGGAUUUAUUGGGUUUAAAGGGAGCGUAGAUGGAUGUUUAAGUCAGUUGUGAAAGUUUGCGGCUCAACCGUAAAAUUGCAGUUGAUACUGGAUGUCUUGAGUGCAGUUGAGGCAGGCGGAAUUCGUGGUGUAGCGGUGAAAUGCCUAGAUAUCACGAAGAACUCCGAUUGCGAAGGCAGCCUG
rnacentral:rRNA from 1 species